AUUUCCCCGAAAGUGUCGAUUAAGUCCAAGAGUAUGUCGACUAUUAGGACUACGCAUUUAGCCUCUCACGAAUGUUUGAGGGCAAAGUGAUUCCAUCAGAGAGACCCAAUCACACCCUGCUGGAAAUGGGAAAUCCUUUGUGAACCAUUAGAAUCAUUUCGGCCUUCAACUUCUAUGUGGCCGUUUAUUACGGUGGAACAACGCCCUUCUUAUAUUCAAUUUGUGGCAAUACAAUGAUCUGGAAAGGCGCCCCGUCGACACCCUUGUGCAGCAUCGCCAUCACCAAGAUUGUGGCCCAGGCGCUGGAAAAGAACAACCUGCCGGGUGCCAUUUGCAGUCUCAUCUGUGGCGGAGCUGAUGUCGGCAGUGCCAUGGCCAACGACCCCCGUCUGGCUCUCAUCUCGUUCACUAGGAGCAUCAAAGUUGGCAAACAGGUGGCCGUGGCCGUCCAGAGCCGAUUCGGCCGCAAUUUGCUCGAACUGGGCGGUAACAACGCCAUUCUUGUCGACGAGAGCGCUUCAAUCGAUCUAGUCAUCCGGGCGUCCAUUUUCCCGUCUGCUAGAACAUCCAGCCAGCGCUGCACCCUCCACCUGUCGUCUCGUCUUGCACGGAAAGGUCUGCGACACCGUCCUGGCCUAUUUGAUCAAAGCUUACGAGCUGCUAUUGCCCAGAAUGGGUGAUCCCCUCCAGUCCGGCCUCCUGCUAGGCCCCCCUUCACAAUCAGCCGGCCGUCGACUCGAUCGCCGCCACCAUUAAGGAAGCGGAGUCCCUCGGCGGCAAAGUCAUGACGGACCGUCCCGCGGCUUCUUCGUCCAGCCGACCAUCAUCACGGGUCUGAAGCCGACGGCGUCUGUGGUCAUGAGCGAAUGUUUCGCUGACAUUCUCUACGUGCUCAAGUGCCAGGAUAUGAACGAGGCUACGGCCAUCAACAACAUCGUCGACCAGGUUCUCUCGUCCAGCAUGUUCACCCAGAACCUCAACCACAUCUUCAAGACACAGUGGCUGGGACCGAAAGGAUGGGACUGAGGGAUCGUCAACGUCGACAUGGGGACGAGUGGAGCUGAGAUCGGUGAGAUGAACACACAGCAGGUGGCCAUGAAUCGGGAUCAGAUUCAUAGUAUUACUAAACUCUAUUGUCACGUAACGCGUACUAUAAUACAGCUAAUGUUAACAUAUGGUGCCGAUUUGUUUAACUUUUACAAUUCGAAAUGCUUAGCUAAAAAUUGGAUGGUUGAUUUUUUGGAUAUUUGGAGAUUUGGAGAUUCAGUUGAAAGUUUUUCUUCCAAGAAACUAAAACUAGGUGAACUUUUUCCAGUUUCUCUUUAACAUUACUUCAUUACUUCCAACUUCCAGGGUAUGUUUUUUUCUUGUUCGUUCACUAAAGAUUUGUUGGCGUCUGUCUCGAUGAUAGACCUUCCUCCCCCCAACGGACCCGACUCUCUUGAUCUGUUCGCUCGGAUCGAGUUUCAUUAAUGUUGGACUAAGCAGUUGCGUCGUCACUGAGAGCAACGCCGACCCGACAAUCUUCCUGCCUUUCAACUUGUAUCCUGAAUAUCAUCCGCAGCUCAGUUGUUUUAUUCCCGAGCUAUUUAUUACUGCCCUUUUUGGACCCUCGCCAUCAACUGUGAAACUGAUAUAUAGAGUAGGAAUAUUCCAAAAUAAAAAUAAUUUCAUUCUUA
rnacentral:lncRNA from 1 species